CAUCCUGGGGCUGGAGAAGGUCCCAAGGGUUUGGCUGUUCGCCAAUUAAAGCGGUACGUGAGCUGGGUUUAGAACGUCGUGAGACAGUUCGGUCCCUAUCUGUUGCGGGCGUAGGAUAUCUGAGGGGAGCUGCUCUCAGUACGAGAGGACCAGAGCGGACGGACCUCUAGUGUACCAGUUGUCGCGCCAGCGGCACCGCUGGGUAGCUAUGUCCGGAUGGGAUAAGCGCUGAAAGCAUCUAAGCGCGAAGCCCACCCCAAGAUAAGAUAUCCCUCCCGAAUUUUUCGGGACUAAAGGCCCCUCGGAGAUGACGAGGUUGAUAGGCCACAGGUGUAAGUCCUGUAAAGGAUUCAGCCGAGUGGUACUAAUAGGCCGUGAGGCUUAACCGAA
rnacentral:rRNA from 1 species